UACAGAGGGGGCAAGCGUUGUUCGGAAUUACUGGGCGUAAAGGGCGCGUAGGCGGCCAACUAAGUCGGACGUGAAAUCCCCAGGCUCAACCUGGGAACUGCGUCCGAUACUGGAUGGCUCGAAUCCGGGAGAGGGAUGUGGAAUUCCAGGUGUAGCGGUGAAAUGCGUAGAUAUCGGGAGGAACACCAGUGGCGAAGGCGGCGACCUGGACGGACACUGACGCUGAGACGCGAAAGCGUGGGGAGCAAACAGG
rnacentral:rRNA from 1 species